GGACCUUAAGGCCCAAUGGGCUUCGAACGUCAAGCCCAUUAACUUAAGUUGUAUGACAAUUUAAUGACUAAAGAUUCAUUAAAGCCCAAAAGCCCAAAUCCCAUAAGGUGGCCGGCCAUAUUAGAUGAAUUAGGGUUGUUUGGUUAUUUAGGUCACUUAAAGAAGUGACUAUAUAAAUGACUUUAUAACUAAAUAUUCAUUAAGUGAAAUAAGGGUUUAUUUUUUGGGAAAAUGGGUGAGAAUUGUCUCUCCAUUUUCUCUCUAAAGAGGCCAACACCUUGGAGGUGAUUAGCUAGUCAUCUAAUCCUCCAAGGUCACUCAUUCAUCAUCCAAUCUCUCCUUGGUGUAGAGACUUAGAGGUUCUCAAUUUUGUGAACUUGGAGAACCUAUUCUUCCAUCCAAAUCCAUGGAUCUAAGAAGCAAGGAAUGAAGGCCCUAUCUCUUUGGGUGAUUAGCCUUUGCUUAUGCAAAGAGGAAUCUACAAAGGUAUUAAUUUCAACUCACUUAUUUUUGAGUUGAUUAUUGGUUCACCAAUCUACUAGGCUUUGAAUUUCAUGGUCAUGUUUUGUUUUUGAGUACAUACAAGCAUGAUUCCGCCUUUAAUUGUUAAUUGCAUGCUAUAUGAUGUUGCUCAAAUGAACAUGUUUUACAAAAUAAUUCCUUCAAUUUCUCAUUAAAGUCAUGAGAAACAGUGGAAGGUGAGAAAAGGAUAUAAACUUGAAUAUGAUUGGUUUAUAGUUGUCUAAAAUUAAUAGUACUUUACUACUAUUAAUGAGUUUGUAAUUUUAAUUGUUAAAAGUCUCAAGCUCUUCAAAACGUUGAAAUUCUAUGUUGUGUAACAUUCUAAAGAAUAGUCUAUGAAUGUUGGUUUCGUCAACCUAGCAUAAAAUGGUUAUAUGUUGGGAGUUGUCCAUCAUUCUCUUUUAUGAGAACAUGCUAAGUACAAAGCAAAUGGACAAGUUGAUGAAACAAAAGCGAAUAGUUUCAAAAUGAGUCACAACAUAUGGUUUAACAACAAGACAAUCCAAAUUCGGCACCUAAUGUAACUAUAACGCUCUAUGUAGUUUUGAUAAAGAAUUAUAUCAACCACCUAGAAGGUAUGGUUGAGUUUCUAUAUCCUUAGUAGGAGCCAUGCUUCCACUAAUGACUUGGAUAAUUCUUAUAUGACUACAUUAAAGGUCUUAGUAUGACUAAAACUUGAAGUAUGGUGUAUGAUAGCAUAUAAUUUAAAUGAAUGGACUUGAUAUAGCAAGUCACACAUUUCAAAUGGAAUUACUUGAGAAUGAAUUCUUUUGUGUAUGUUCGUUUAAAUAACUUGUGUUAGCUAGAGUUGUUGAUACUCCCAAAAUUGUUGAGACAUCUGAAGGGAAAUUGUGAGAUUUCAUGUGGGAUUUCUAGUGACUAGCAUGCAUAUACAAUUCAAAAUUUAUAUACAAAAGCAACGGAAGCAUGUUAUCAAAUAAUAUCAAAGCUAUAGUUAUGCAAAUCCCCUUCAAGAUGCAUAGGUUUAUGUAAGAUGCAUCAAAACAAUUUAUAGAAGAACAAAGUGUAGGAGUAGUUUUAUACCUCUUGAUCUAGACUUUAGACCAAGGAUGGACCACCUCCAAGCC
rnacentral:lncRNA from 1 species